rnacentral:rRNA from 1 species
UUGGAGAGUUUGAUCCUGGCUCAGGAUGAACGCUGGCGGCGUGCCUAAUACAUGCAAGUCGAGCGAACAGAUAAGGAGCUUGCUCCUUUGACGUUAGCGGCGGACGGGUGAGUAACACGUGGAUAACCUACCUAUAAGACUGGGAUAACUUCGGGAAACCGGAGCUAAUACCGGAUAACAUAUUGAACCGCAUGGUUCAAUAGUGAAAGGCGGCUUUGCUGUCACUUAUAGAUGGAUCCGCGCCGUAUUAGCUAGUUGGUAAGGUAACGGCUUACCAAGGCAACGAUACGUAGCCGACCUGAGAGGGUGAUCGGCCACACUGGAACUGAGACACGGUCCAGACUCCUACGGGAGGCAGCAGUAGGGAAUCUUCCGCAAUGGGCGAAAGCCUGACGGAGCAACGCCGCGUGAGUGAUGAAGGUCUUCGGAUCGUAAAACUCUGUUAUCAGGGAAGAACAAAUGUGUAAGUAACUGUGCACAUCUUGACGGUACCUGAUCAGAAAGCCACGGCUAACUACGUGCCAGCAGCCGCGGUAAUAA